rnacentral:rRNA from 1 species
GAUGUAGGGGAGACUGGAAUUCCUGGUGUAGCGGUGAAAUGCGCAGAUAUCAGGAGGAACACCGAUGGCGAAGGCAGGUCUCUGGGCAUUAACUGACGCUGAGGAGCGAAAGCAUGGGGAGCGAACAGGAUUAGAUACCCUGGUAGUCCAUGCCGUAAACGUUGGGCACUAGGUGUGGGGGACAUUCCACGUUUUCCGCGCCGUAGCUAACGCAUUAAGUGCCCCGCCUGGGGAGUACGGCCGCAAGGCUAAAACUCAAAGGAAUUGACGGGGGCCCGCACAAGCGGCGGAGCAUGCGGAUUAAUUCGAUGCAACGCGAAGAACCUUACCAAGGCUUGACAUGGGCCGGACCGGGCUGGAAACAGUCCUUCCCCUUUGGGGCCGGUUCACAGGUGGUGCAUGGUUGUCGUCAGCUCGUGUCGUGAGAUGUUGGGUUAAGUCCCGCAACGAGCGCAACCCUCGUUCCAUGUUGCCAGCGCGUAAUGGCGGGGACUCAUGGGAGACUGCCGGGGUCAACUCGGAGGAAGGUGGGGACGACGUCAAAUCAUCAUGCCCCUUAUGUCUUGGGCUUCACGCAUGCUACAAUGGCCGGUACAAAGGGUUGCGAUACUGUGAGGUGGAGCUAAUCCCAAAAAGCCGGUCUCAGUUCGGAUUGGGGUCUGCAACUCGACCCCAUGAAGUCGGAGUCGCUAGUAAUCGCAGAUCAGCAACGCUGCGGUGAAUACGUUCCCGGGCCUUGUACACACCGCCCGUCAAGUCACGAAAGUUGGUAACACCCGAAGCCGGUGGCCUAACCCCUU